GAUGAACGCUGGCGGCGUGCCUAAUACAUGCAAGUCGAGCGAACAGAUGAGGAGCUUGCUCCUCUGACGUUAGCGGCGGACGGGUGAGUAACACGUGGAUAACCUACCUAUAAGACUGGGAUAACUUCGGGAAACCGGAUCUAAUACCGGAUAAUAUAUUGAACCGCAUGGUUCAAUAGUGAAAUACGGUUUUGCUGUCACUUAUAGAUGGAGCCGCGUCUCAUUAGCUAGUUGGUAAGGUAACGGCUUACCAAGGCAACGAUUCGUAGCCGACCUGAGAGGGUGAUCGGCAACACUGGAACUGAGAAACGGUCCAGACUCCUACGGGAGGCAGAAGUAGGGAAUCUUCCGCAAUGGGCGAAAGCCUGACGGAGCAACGCCGCGUGAGUGAUGAAGGUCUUCGGAUCGUAAAACUCUGUUAUUAGGGAAGAACAAAUGUGUAAGUAACUAUGCACGUCUUGACGGUACCUAAUCAGAAAGCCACGGCUAACUACGUG
rnacentral:rRNA from 1 species